GACGAACGCUGGCGGCGAGCCUAAUACAUGCAAGUUGAGCGCUGAAGGUUGGUACUUGUACCGACUGGAUGAGCAGCGAACGGGUGAGUAACGCGUGGGGAAUCUGCCUUUGAGCGGGGGACAACAUUUGGAAACGAAUGCUAAUACCGCAUAAAAACUUUAAACACAAGUUUUAAGUUUGAAAGAUGCAAUUGCAUCACUCAAAGAUGAUCCCGCGUUGUAUUAGCUAGUUGGUGAGGUAAAGGCUCACCAAGGCGAUGAUACAUAGCCGACCUGAGAGGGUGAUCGGCCACAUUGGGACUGAGACACGGCCCAAACUCCUACGGGAGGCAGCAGUAGGGAAUCUUCGGCAAUGGACGAAAGUCUGACCGAGCAACGCCGCGUGAGUGAAGAAGGUUUUCGGAUCGUAAAACUCUGUUGGUAGAGAAGAACGUUGGUGAGAGUGGAAAGCUCAUCAAGUGACGGUAACUACCCAGAAAGGGACGGCUAACUAUGUGCCAGCCGCCGCCGUAA
rnacentral:rRNA from 1 species